rnacentral:rRNA from 1 species
AAUCAACGCUGGCGGCGUGCCUCAGACAUGCAAGUCGAACGAGAAAGUCCCCUUCGGGGGAUGAGUAAAGUGGCGCACGGGUGAGUAACACGUAGGUAAUCUACCUUCGGGUGGGGAAUAACCCAGGGAAACUUGGGCUAACACCGCAUAAUGCAGCGGCACCACAUGGUGACAGUUGUUAAAGCGGGGGAUUUUCGAACCUCGCGCCUGAAGAGGAGCCUGCGGCGGAUUAGCUAGUUGGUAAGGUAACGGCUUACCAAGGCGACGAUCCGUAACCGGCCUGAGAGGGCGGUCGGUCACACUGACACUGACAUACGGGUCAGACUCCUACGGGAGGCAGCAGACGGGAAUUUUGGGCAAUGGGCGAAAGCCUGACCCAGCAACGCCGCGUGAAGGAUGAAAUCCCUCGGGAUGUAAACUUCGUAAGAUUGGGAAGAAUUAGUAGGGGCUAAUACCCCCUAUGAUGACGGUACCAUUUGUAAGCUCCGGCUAACUCCGUGCCAGCAGCCGCGGUAAUACGGGGGAGC